rnacentral:rRNA from 1 species
UACGUAGGGGGCAAGCGUUGUCCGGAAUUAUUGGGCGUAAAGAGCGUGUAGGCGGUCCGGUAAGUCGGCUGUGAAAGUCCAGGGCUCAACCCUGGGAUGCCGGUCGAUACUGCCGUGACUCGAGUCCGGUAGGGGAGUGUGGAAUUCCCGGUGUAGCGGUGAAAUGCGCAGAGAUCGGGAGGAACACCCGUAGCGAAGGCGGCACUCUGGGCCGGUACUGACGCUGAGGAGCGAAAGCGUGGGGAGCAAACAGG